GCAGGUUAUUGUUAUUGCUUGUCAGGAGGAAGUGGUGAUUAUUUCGAUUUAAUUCUGUACCUUUAACUAUUGCUGUUAUUUCUUGUUUUUCAAAUUAAAGUGUGCUCUUGUGGAGGCUGAUGGUAAAUGUGCUUAAGGCAGCCACAGAAGAAUGUAACAGAAUCACACAUCCUCUUUCACCGAUCUUCAGACCAUUUUCAAAUCUGAAAUACUUGAGAAAGUAUUUUGAAGUUCUUCUUAACGUAUUUUACUUGCUGAAAGGCGUGCUGCCAAAAUGAAUUGUACAGAUUCAUGUACCUCAGAAUAUCAGUAUUAUUCAGACUACGCC
rnacentral:lncRNA from 1 species